rnacentral:rRNA from 1 species
GACGAACGCUGGCGGCGUGCUUAACACAUGCAAGUGGAGCGACGAACCAGGGCUUGCCCUGGGGCAGAGCCGCGAACGGGUGAGUAACACGUGGGUAACGUGCCCCGAUGAUCGGGACAACCCGGGGAAACCCGGGCUAAUACCGAAUGUGCUCCCCUCACACCAGUGAGGGAUGGAAAGGAAGCUUCGGCCUCCGCAUCGGGAUCGGCCCGCGGCCCAUUAGCUUGUUGGUGAGGUAACGGCNCACCAAGGCUGCGAUGGGUAGCUGGUCUGAGAGGACGAUCAGCCACACUGGGACUGAGACACGGCCCAGACUCCUACGGGAGGCAGCAGUGGGGAAUCUUGCGCAAUGCGCGAAAGCGUGACGCAGCAACGCCGCGUGGGGGAAGACGGCC